rnacentral:rRNA from 1 species
UCUACGGGUGGCAGCAGCAACGAAUAUUCCGCAAUGGGCGAAAGCCUGACGGAGCGACGCCGCGUGAGGGAUGAAGUCCCUUCGGGAUGUAAACUUCAAUAGUACAUUAGGAACCAAUCCCGGCUAAUACCCGGGAAAGUUGACCAGCGUAUGAAAGAGGCGGCUAACUCCGUGCCAGCAGCCGCGGUAAUACGGAGGCUUCGAGCGUUGUUCGGAAUCACUGGGCUUAAAGCGCGUGUAGGCGGGACGGUAAGUACCUUGUGAAAUCCCCGGCUNCAAUCCGGGAACUGCUUGGUAUACUGUCGUUCUUGAGGCAGGUAGGGGUCACUGGAACCUUAGGUGGAGCGGUGAAAUGCGUAGAUAUCUAAGGGAACGCCUGUGGCGAAAGCGGGUGACUGGGCCUGAUCUGACGCUGAGACGCGAAAGCGUAGGGAGCAAACGGGAUUAGAUACCCCAGUANUC